rnacentral:rRNA from 1 species
CGGCGGACGGGUGAGUAAUGCCUAGGAAUCUGCCUGGUAGUGGGGGACAACGUUUCGAAAGGAACUCUAAUACCGCAUACGUCCUACGGGAGAAAGCAGGGGACCUUCGGGCCUUGCGCUAUCAGAUGAGCCUAGGUCGGAUUAGCUAGUUGGUGAGGUAAUGGCUCACCAAGGCGACGAUCCGUAACUGGUCUGAGAGGAUGAUCAGUCACACUGGAACUGAGACACGGUCCAGACUCCUACGGGAGGCAGCAGCG